CCUACGGGUGGCAGCAGUCGAGAAUUAUUCACAAUGGGGGAAACCCUGAUGGUGCGACGCCGCGUGGGGGAAUGAAGGUCUUCGGAUUGUAAACCCCUGUCAUGUGGGAGCAAAUUAAAAAGAUAGUACCACAAGAGGAAGAGACGGCUAACUCUGUGCCAGCAGCCGCGGUAAUACAGAGGUCUCAAGCGUUGUUCGGAAUCACUGGGCGUAAGGCGUGCGUAGGCUGUUUCGUAAGUCGUGUGUGAAAGGCGCGGGCUCAACCCGCGGACGGCACAUGAUACUGCGAGACUAGAGUAAUGGAGGGGGAACCGGAAUUCUCGGUGUAGCAGUGAAAUGCGUAGAUAUCGAGAGGAACACUCGUGGCGAAGGCGGGUUCCUGGACAGUAACUGACGCUGAGGCACGAAGGCCAGGGGAGCGAAAGGGAUUAGAUACCCGGGUAGUC
rnacentral:rRNA from 1 species